rnacentral:lncRNA from 1 species
UAUGCAUGUUAUUAAGCAAUGUGUUGUCAUCAUCAAAAAAUAGAUUGAUAUAGAAAUUGUGUUGUCAACAAUCUCAACAAUCUCCCCCUUUUUUGAUGAUGCACAACCAUGAUCAAUAACCUACCAUGUUUGCACAAUCUAAUUCAAAACAGCAAAAUAUCAAGUAGAAUAAGCACAAUAUAAGAUAGAAUGAAAAUGCAUUCUCCCCCUUUCAUAUUCUCCCCCUUUCAUAAGGCUUUCAUACAAUCUCUCCCCCUUUGUGCAUUAGCAAAAAAGGUAUGCUCUAGAUUUUUAUGCUGAAAUAUCAAACAGAGAUGCAUCAAAUAGAAAUAUGCAAUAAUCAAUAUGUAGUUAUGCUCUCAUUAGCACACUUAAAUCACAUGAAAAUGAUAACUCCCCCUAAAGUACAGGCAUGUGAAAUACAAAUGUGUAAAAUGUGAUUCUCCCCCUG